UCUUAUGGAUGAACAAAGAAAGUGUUUUCUUGAGAUGGAAUGUACACCUGGUGAAGAUGCUGUGAA
rnacentral:pre_miRNA from 1 species